GGACCCGCACAAGCGGUGGAGCGUGUUCUUUAAUUCGAUGCUAAACGAAGAACCUUACCAAGGCUUGACAUCCCGUAGCCGAUUUCCGAAAGGGAAUCCUCAUUUAGUUGGACGGUGACAGGUGAUGCAUGGCCGUCGUCAGCUCGUGUCGUGAGAUGUUUGGUUAAGUCCAUCAACGAGCGCAACCCUUGCUGUUAGUUGUAUUUUUCUAGCAGGACUGCCUCUGUAAAGAGGAGGAAGGAGGGGAUGAUGUCAGGUCAGUAUUUCCCUUACGCCUUGGGCCAGAAACGCGCUACAAUGGCCGGUACAACGGGCAGCUAAGCAGUAAUGCGGAGCUAAUCCCAUCAAAACCGGUCCCAGUUCGGAUUGAGGGCUGAAACUCGCCUCAUGAAGUCGGAAUCGCUAGUAAUCGCAAGUCAGCAAAUUG
rnacentral:rRNA from 1 species